UGGGGAAUAUUGCACAAUGGAGGGAACUCUGAUGCAGCGACGCCGCGUGAACGAAGAAGGCUUUCGAGUCGUAAAGUUCUUUUAUAUGGGAAGAUAAUGACGGUACCAUAAGAAAAAGCCCCGGCUAACUACGUGCCAGCAGCCGCGGUAAUACGUAGGGGGCUAGCGUUGUCCGGAAUCACUGGGCGUAAAGGGUUCGCAGGCGGAAAUGCAAGUCAGGUGUAAAAGGCAGAGGCUCAACCUCUGUAAGCAAUUGAAACUGUAUUUCUUGAGAUGUGGAGAGGCAAGUGGAAUUCCUAGUGUAGCGGUGAAAUGCGUAGAUAUUAGGAAGAAUACCGGUGGCGAAGGCGACUUGCUGGACACAAACUGACGCUGAGGAACGAAAGCGUGGGUAGCAAACAGG
rnacentral:rRNA from 2 species